CCUACCCGAUUCCCUUUAUUUUCCCCCUAAUUUCCCCAAAUCGGCAGCCCUCUGCAUCCUUGUCGACACACUUUCCCCUUCCACCCUUCCCUCCAAAACCCAAAUUCCUUCAAGCAAAACCCAAACCCUCCUUCAAAUUAUCCUCAAGUUUUCCUUUUUUCUCAUUUUUGGUAUUGCGCAAGUUCCAAAUAUUGUUGGUGUUUUGCCUAUGAAUCCCGGAUAGAAUGAUAAAUUUUAGAGGUAUAUGUUUAGCGAUUUUUAGCAUUGAAGAUGGUGGUUGUCGGGCAGCAGUUUAUGUUUACAUCCGUAUUCCGUAAACGGUUAAAGUGUCCACUCUUUCCUCUCUUUUCUAUCUUCAAUUUUCUCUGAACCUAAACCAACUUUCUUAUUUGGGAUUUAAAUUGAACAUUGCCUUCUUCGCUUGUAUCUCAGAAGUAGGGAUCUAAGGUUAGAGGGUUUGUGUUUAUUCAUACAAUGUGCUAAGCAGUUAUAUGAUUGCUCAUUUUUCAUCUCUCUGCUGUUAGAUUAGGGUAUGAUAAAUCAACUUUAUAUAAAUUUUAAAUUGAAUGUUUCUUCAUCAGUGGUUAGAUUCAGUAUGGAAGAAGAGGUUUGGAGAAUCCGCUGAAGUAGACAAUCUAUAUAUUGUUGAUGUACAAAAAGUACUUCAAAUGGAAGACUUAAAUGAGGAUGGUGUAUGGGUCACUUCAUCAGAUUAUAACUCAUGCAAGAUGGUGUAUGAGACAUAGCAGUCGGACUGACUCUGACUCUAGCCUAUCUAGGGAGCAAAUGAAUCAUGAAACAGUUCCAGCUUUGUUGCGGUAGGUAACAAUAUUUAUUGCUAGUAAUUCCUAGUUGGAAAUCAUGGAAGUAGAGAAAUAUGAAUGGCGAAUCAUAGUUUGUAAAAGGUGAUGGAAUCUGUUUAAGUUCUUAACAUCACCCUUUUAGAGUCUAAAAAUGUCAUCCUAUUGUUCUCUUUGUAACUCAUGGAUCUCCCUUGUUUAUAUUUCAACUAGCAAUUUUCUGAUGUGGUA